AUACUUUCAAUUGGUUGACUAAGGAUAUUUAUCAAUAUAAUAUCCUAGAGUCCCCUUGUGAACUUGUAUCAAAUGAUUCAAGAAGAUGGUUGACUGAAAAUGUUCUAAAGCUCAAAAAUUCUGCUACAUAUCCUCAAGUUAAAUGUCGAGAAGAAUGGCAUGACCUCUCUUUGAUUUGGGCCAACGAUAAUAAUGUAAGAGAUGCUCUUCAAUCUUCAUGUUCGAAAGUGGUGAUCACGAUAUGGUUGUGCCAUUUAUUUCAACUCAAGUAUGGAUUAAAUCACUAAACUAUUCAAUUAUUGAUGAUUGGAAGCCAUGGAUUGUUGAUGGUCAAGUUGCAGGGUAUACAAGAAGUUACUACAAUCAAAUGACAUUCGUGACA